rnacentral:tRNA from 1 species
GCUUAAAUAGUUUAAAUAAAACAUUAAUUUGUGGAAUUAAAAAUAUAUUAAAAUAUUUUAGGCA